rnacentral:rRNA from 1 species
AAUCAACGCUGGCGGCGUGCCUAACACAUGCAAGUCGAACGAGAAAGUGGAGCAAUCCAUGAGUACAGUGGCGACCGGGUGAGUAACACGUGACUACCUACCCUUGAGUGGGGAGUAACCUCGGGAAACCGAGGCUAAUACCGCAUAAUAUCGAGAGAUCAAAGAGCAAUCCGCUCUUGGAGGGGGUCGGCGGCUGAUUAGCUAGUUGGUGAGGUAAUAGGCNCACCAAGGCGAAG